AAAGCCAGAAUCACAGAAAGGGCAAAGCUGGGUGGCAGCAGGGGCUGAGCACAACUUGCAUGUGAGCCACAGUUUGGGGAUGCACCUUAGCACACCCUCUGCUCUCUGGAUUUUGGGGAAAUGGCCACAGCCUGGAUUCCUGCGCUCAGCAAAGGAGCAAUGGAGCAUCCCAGAUGGGACCUGCCAGCUUUGAAAGCAGCAGCGACCGCGAUGCUGCAACGCCCGCCAUGGCUUGGCUUCAUGACAGCUGAUCUACAAUUGCUAGUGAAGGAGACAGAAGAGGUUAAUCAUCCACCCAAGUGACUGCAGGCAGCCCAACAAAUAAGCAGAGAUCAGCCCAGAGGCCCUCAGCUCAUGUAAAUCAGCAUCGUUUCAUCAAGCCUGGAGCUUACACCAUCAUGCACUCACUCAGGAUCUAAAACCCAAAUGUGUAAAUGAAAAUGAUGCUAAUUACAGUUCACCACCAAGAAGCACUACCUUAAUUUUAAGGAAAUGAAGGAAACGGGCUUGCUCCGUGACAGCCGAUAUCAUAUUGCCAUACAACUAACUUAAAGUUGUAUAAGUUAGAUUAUAACUUUUGAAGAAGCAAUUAUGAUUUUAUUGCACCCACUCUGCUGAUGAUUAAUGCAGAGAGCCUAGGGGAAAAUGCAUCCUAUCAUUUGCUAACAUGCACUAUAAUUAUGCAUACCUCUCCAGGUACUGUAAUUUAGGACUUAAAGAGCAACAUUCUGAACGAGGACUGCUGCACUUGUAAAACAUUACAGAUGUGUUAUCAUAUAAAUGAGGUAGCUUUGACAUGAUAGUGUUCUAAUAAAUCCUCAG
rnacentral:lncRNA from 1 species